CCGGAUUUUCCUCAACGAUCAAAUCGCGGUUGGAUAGGAAAUUAAAAAAAAAAAAAAAGGAAAGUAUCAGAUUGUGACUAAGUGACGCGUAUAGUCGAUUUUCCAAGCUCUGGUAGCAUCAACUAAUUGCCUAUUUCAAUCUUUCCCCCAUGAGUCUGGUCGGUGCACAAGGCCUUUUGUUGCCCAUGCAGCUAAAACUGGUGAAUUUUGGCGUCCUUCCAAAUCACCAUUCCGCUCACGCAUCGCACCGAAAUCCUGUCCUCGGGGUCUAUUUUAAUCGACCUACGGAGUUAUCGAUUAAUCAUUACCCUUCGGCACCGAGCGAACAAGAAGAAUUCGAAACCUUUUACCGCAAGUUCCCAUCGUUUAGCCGAAUAAACCGAAUUCGUUUCGUUGAAUGAAUUUACCCUCUCGCAACGAUCCCCCUCUUUAUUUUAUUCCCUCUUUCUUCUUGGCUUCGAGUAUACUUGGCAGAACGCCGUAGUCUAUAAAGGAAUCAUGAUUCGCAAAAGUGAACAGCGAUGGGAUACCGAACGAUGAUUAAUAAAAAUGGAACUACCGUGGCUAAAGUGUAAAUGGCCAGACGUCAUACAAGUAUUCUAGAUCGAAAAUUAAUAAAUUAUCCCUAUUUUCCGUAAGAAAGUUUCUUGGGAUCCAAGAAGCACGAGAUCGUCUGGAAAAGUGAAGGAAACAGGAGAAAAAGGUCCGAGAAGGUUCGAAAGGAUCAGAAGGUAAGAGUAAGAGGAGUUACCGAAGGUUCGAGGCAAAGAUGCUAUAGGAGACCGAUAAAGCGUCAGACCCGUAAUAAGAGCUGGCAGAAAGUUAACUGAACCAUGAAGACGAGCUUGAAAUGGACUAGGAUGCUGAGAGUUCCAGGAACACCGUGUCCUCUUUCAGAAGUCUACACUCGACUUUGCUUUUCUAUCUUCCAUACUUUUUCCUUGAUAGAGCGACGAGUUGGAAACAUUAAUUUAAUUUGAAAAUACAAUUUUUUUUAAAGAGCCAGUAAUUUCAAAAAAUAUGCAACCAACUAAAUAUAAAUUAUAGGAUUUUAGAUUCCCCUAAAUUUUUAAACUAAAUAUCCUUCAUCAGAAAACGAAACUACUGUUUCUAGAAUUGUCAGCUGUCAUCGAACACAUUUGCAACAGGUUGCCAUCGAGUUAGGUCAGUUUGGAUUAGGGUCGUAUCAGACUUUGCUAAGCUGUUACGUAGAAGUAUAGUAAUAAGACAUCAUUACAUCGACUCACGCUAUAUCCACCUGUUGAAUUCAAACUGUUUCCAUGUAAAAUCGGAUUCGUCUAAUUAAAAAUUUAAGAGCACAUUUGUAGGAAAGGGUUGUGAUGAAUCACGUCUGAGGUUUAUCAAAUCACAGCAAGGGGUUGAAUAUUAAUUAUGUUUAACAACUUUUUUUUUUUCUAUACCAUAUGCUCUUGUAAUUUUAAAAGUUAUUCAAGGUGAUCGAGUUAGCUGCCACGCCCUGUAUAUGUUUUACAAAAGGUAUGUAGAAAAGGUAUGUUUGGUAUGGUAUACCAAAUAAAUGAUUAACACUUGUCAAGAGAAAUAUUUGCAUUCUGCAGUAGGUAAAAAGAGAAACAGUAUGAAAAGAUGAAAAUUUCUAUCAUUUUCAGAUAUUUAAAUUUUGUAAUAGCCCAACUUUUGUAUCACUUAUUGUAUUCAAAAAUUAGAACUACUAAGAGGUGAAAAUUCUCCCUGCAUUACGUGAUUGCAGAUAUUCUUGGACACCUUAAAUCAAGCCAAAAAUUCACUUAGCUACGCGUGAAAAAUGUAUUCCCACCGUCAGAAUGCACGUUUCUAUUUAAAGAUUAGGUUUGAAUCACUGCACAAAAUGCAGUAUAAAUCAAUGGUAACCUUAGUCUUGUGAACUCGAACGUCUCUAUAACAGCACUCUACCUGAUUGCACCUUGACAUUUGUGCAACAUAAAUUGCAUUUCAUUGACUCGCAAUUAAAAAUGAUAAAAUGAUACAGUAAUCGAUCGAUGGUUAGUUCGAUAAUUAACUAGAAAUUAUCAAUCACAAAUAAAAAUUAAUUCUACCCAUUUACCAAAUCAUUAAUCACCAAAAAAUAAAAAAUAGAAAAAUUAAUAAAAUUUUGUGUAGUAAAUUGCAAAAAAAUAAAUACAAUUUUUGCCCAUUUCCCGAAUCAUUAAUCUGACAAAAUAAAAAAUAGAAAAAUUGAUAAAAUUUUUAAAAAUUCAGAAAGUGAAGUUAAUCACUUUAGCCUAUCAACAGUUGAAGAAUCGAAACGGAAUUGUCUAUAGGUUGAUGUAGAUAAAAUAAUUGUUAAAUUGAAAUGGAGAAGCAUUCGAAGAAAAACGAAGGAACUCUAGCAAGAGCAGGAUAUUUCGUCAUCGUGUUCUCGUUCAAUCGGUUGCUUGGUUGGAGGCCGAGUUAAGUGUCGAGUGGCAAGCGGGACGCCACGGAAAUAGUACAGACUGCGUCGACGGUCGUUCGUCGGGAUAUUACGCAAGCGGUCACUUGGUCUGGGUUCGGUUCAGGUAUACGUGGGGAUUCCUCGUGGCGCCGGUCGUCUGGCACACUAUUCCUUCUCGCACACAUUUUCAACCACCGACGUUCGUGAACUAGCCGAUGACAGACGCGGGAUCUGGCAUACAGGAGAACGGCAUCCGGAGAAUUCGUCGAGCCGCGACUCGACCAAGAAAGGUGCUAAAUAAAUCAAUGACUCCGGAAUCGGAGAACAGUUGCCAGAUGAAGAUCAACCGUUUAGGCAGCUCUCCUUAAUAUCGCCAGGUGUGAGAUCGAUGCACCAGCUGGCGAUUAGUAAUCGAAGAAUCAACUCUCGGACGGCGGACCAUGGAGAGACUCCCGAGACGGCGCGGCGGACCACGGAGAGAGUCCCAAUUUUUAACACUUAAAACGGAUACUUUCGAAAGCUACUCUGGCGUUUGAAAUUUGGAUCGAUCACGUUGCCCGAAGGAAGCGAACAGGCUCGCCAGUGAUUUCGGAUACCACACCUUGCGCCGUCUGUCGAUGGGAGGAUCUAGAAGGGUGGCCCCGUUGUCCAUCAGGAUUCUCCGGAAAGUAACUGGCAGAUGGCCGGCAGAUGUCUACCAUCUUGCUGGGCCUGAUUGUAGGUCCAGGCGAAAUCACCCGUGAAAGGUGAGCAUCUACAGCGAAGCGGUUUUGUAACGACGCUAUCUUUAUCCGUCGCAUCUCUUUCGCGGCAACGUGCCGCAGGAUGAAUAACAAUCGCGCUCCUGAUCGUACAGGUCGUAAUUUUACUUAAAGACCACUGCCAGAUGCAAGGAAUUCAGUUAAUGUUAAUAAAGAUCGCUAAGUAUCUCUUAAUCUUGGAAAUACAUUGACUAAAUCAAAAUCAUUAUGUUUUACCCCCAGCGAAAUAUCUACGCGUAAUACGCGAACGGAAAUGAAAUUUCAAAUCAACCCGAAGGAAUUUAAAUGAAAAUAGUAAACAGCCAAUAUCAACCCUAUCCCUCCCUUUUCCGUCCUCUCGAUUUUCCUAUUUCUCUCUUCUUCAUCCCUCGAUCUCUUUCUUCCCACCGGUUGGUUGGUUCGACCAAUCCACGUUGCUGCAUCGCGCACAUAAACUCUGCACCGGAUCAAUGCACCUCGCGAACCCACUUCCGUUUCAUGGACGGAUAUAUAUAGACGGGCACGUGCAACAAUACAGGUACAUAAACUACAUAUGUGAUUUGUUUCAUCGUUCCCAACAUGGCACGGAAUAAUGAUUAAUCCCCGGCUAACUACAACGGUAGAGGAAGAAAAGAAGAAAAUUGAAGAGUUAUAAGCACCGUGACCAUUAUCUCGCGGAAUUCUACAUCAGGAGAAGGGAAUCCGGGUAAUGGAUGCCGAGAAAACGAGCGUCCUGGUUUGACCCGUGCUAGGUUAUGACCUGAAUAGCAGAUUACCCGUUUACGAGGCUACAUUCUACCUUCCGUCGUUUUAUUGAAUUCAGGGAAUAUUCUGUGCAACGGAAUAGCUUCAGAAGAGAAAUGAACACUCGAGAAACGUGUGCGUAAGGAGGAUGCGUUUGCAAAACCCUGCACCGACUGGUAGUGUUACGGGCAAAGAGCGCUCUAUUGUGGGUACAGCGAGUGGCAAAGGUGAUCCAGUUCGAAUAGAAUUUGAUUUGAACGAGGAGACUUCUGCAAACUCUAGGUAUAAGGCUAGGUAUAUUGAAAUUAUGGUAGAAAUAUUUCAAUAACUUCCACGGUUCAAUAUUUCAGCAGAGUUUUCUAACUUUCAACGACCCAAUCGAUAAAUGCAAGCUGAAACGAAGGCGGAUAUUAAAGUUCCCUCUUCCGAGCGUUUCGGAAUCUUCAAAAAGAUGUAGCGGAUCUAAAAGAGGAACGAAGGGCCUUUCCGUAAGGGUGUUUCAAAGCAGAGGGAUGAUUUUUCGGGACACAAGGCUGGCGGCCCUCAAAGGAAGAAGGGAAACUCGACGAUUGCUCGGUCCAAUUAAGGUGGCGCCUAGCACAUGGCGAUGACUCGAGUAGUGCGUGGAAAUAAAGCUACCAGUGGGAAAAGAGAGCGAACAGAGGACGAAGGGAAAAGGAGAAAAGAAAAAGGGAAAGUAUGCAAGAGGCAAGAUCAACCCUCGUUCCUUUUCCAUCUCUCUCUCUCUCUCUCUUUCUCUUUCUCUUUAUCUUCUUCGUCCUCUGGUCGAACAACUGACGUUGCCAGGCGACAGGAGCACCCUGCAACCCUCGAAGAUGUCACGCAGGGUGCACGCAAAGGGAACGAACUUUUGACCUUUCAAGAGCGUCUCCUUGAACCGCGGGUUCUAUGGCCUCUACACGAGGCGACAGAGCCCGCGUGGACCUUCCUCCGGCUCGUCGCAAACGAAAUAUCAUUAACGAAAUAAAAUAAUUUUCUUCUAAAGCGAAAUUUCCUGCAUUUUAAUUUAACGAAGGCCUUUGAAUAACGGCCCGGACUUCCGGAUGAAAAACUCGGGAAAAAUAAAAAGGACCCGGUGGUUGUUUACCGUAUAUACAGAGUCGCGUAUAAACGAAACAAUGCGAGUAGCGAAUGGUUUUAGACACGAACAAUGGAAAAAGAUGGCUUCGGAGUAGACAAAGGAUGGAGGGGAGAUGAAAGGGGUACAAAUGAAGAAAGAUGCAAAAUAGCAAUGAUAGGAACAAAGCGAAGAAGGCAGAGGGAGGAAUACGGCGAGAAGGGUGGAAAAAUUCGAGGAGUAGAAAAAGGAAUUCAGAGACAAUGACACGAGAUACCUCGGGCGUAUUUCGACUACGAAAGAAGGUAUAUAACUACUUGAGAUGAGGUGCACGUUUGCAGUUAUGUACCCUGGAUGAAAUGUAGAAGGGGUCGUAUUUUGAUCAGUUUGAAAAUAAAAAAAAUUUUCAAGCCGUGAAAAUUUCUGAAUCGCCCGGACUUACAAACUCAUUUCCGUUUUAUAGUUUACACGGGAAACGUGGCAGAGGUUUACCGAUGAAAACCCAGAGGGUCCUUUCGUAUGAAACGCUCUUUAACUUCUACCGUUCCGAACGUAAAACUGGAAUAUUCCUUACUCGCUAUACGCGUUCUACAUCAUUCCGUGCAACUUUACGUUGCUGAAACUUUAUACGAUUCACAGACACCCCGGUACAACAUGGACGUAGGAUACGCGAUUGUAUUCGUAUUGGACGCCGUUCUACCAGCUUUUACGACUUACGUGCUAUACUUCUCGCUUUACGCUUACGUUCUAUAACGUAACGUUAUGCCCUCGUAACUUCAUCGAACCGUGUCGAUUGCACCGUCGAAACUUCCAGCUUCGAGGUGCAUCGACCACCUACACCAGAGCCGGCCUCCCGUCUCAAUCUCGCCGAGUAACGCGAUAUUGAAUCGCUAGGAAAAUAAUGCUACUUUUAUGGGUGAAAUGGUACGGCACCCUUUGAAUUCUUGAGAUACCCUCCCUUUUCUCUGAUAUCAUUUAACCCUUUGCCUUACAACAUUCGUGACGCAACUUACAAAAUGUGUUUUAGUGAUUGAAUUUUGAGUUUCAUUAUAAUUAUAAUUAGCUCGAUCAAGGAUUUUUAAAUAAAA